rnacentral:rRNA from 1 species
GACGAACCGUGCGAACGUUGUUCGGAAUCACUGGGCUUAAAGGGCGCGUAGGCGGCUCUGAUAGUCGGGGGUGAAAUCCCACAGCUUAACUGUGGAAGUGCCUUCGAUACUGCGGGGCUCGAGCGAGGUAGGGGCAGAGGGAACUUCUGGUGGAGCGGUGAAAUGCGUUGAUAUCAGAAGGAACGCCGGUGGCGAAAGCGCUCUGCUGGACCUCUCCUGACGCUGAGGCGCGAAAGCUAGGGGAGCAAACGGGG